UGGGGAAUUUUGGACAAUGGGCGCAAGCCUGAUCCAGCCAUGCCGCGUGCAGGAAGAAGGCCUUCGGGUUGUAAACUGCUUUUGUCAGGGAAGAAAUCCUUUGGGUUAAUACCUCGAAGGGAUGACGGUACCUGAAGAAUAAGCACCGGCUAACUACGUGCCAGCAGCCGCGGUAAUACGUAGGGUGCGAGCGUUAAUCGGAAUUACUGGGCGUAAAGCGUGCGCAGGCGGCUUUGCAAGACAGAUGUGAAAUCCCCCGGGGCUCAACCUGGGAACUGCUUUGUGACUGCAAGGCUAGAGUGCGGCAGAGGGAGAUGGAAUUCCGCGUGUAGCAGUGUAAUGCGUAGAUAUGCGGAGGAACACCGAUGGCGAAGGCAAUCUCCUGGGGCCUGCACUGACGCUCAUGCACGAAAGCGUGGGGGAGC
rnacentral:rRNA from 1 species